UACGUAGGUGGCAAGCGUUGUCCGGAUUUACUGGGCGUAAAGGGCGUGCAGGCGGUUUGUUAAGUCUAGGGUGAAAGCUCCCGGCUCAACUGGGAGAGGUCCUUGGAUACUGGCAGACUUGGGGGAGGCAGAGGAAAGUGGAAUUCCCGGUGUAGUGGUGAUAUGCGUAGAUAUCGGGAGGAACACCAGUGGCGAAGGCGGCUUUCUGGGCCUUACCUGACGCUGAGACGCGAAAGCGUGGGGAGCAAACAGG
rnacentral:rRNA from 1 species